AUUGAACGCUGGCGGCAUGCCUUACACAUGCAAGUCGAACGGCAGCACGGGAGCAAUCCUGGUGGCGAGUGGCGAACGGGUGAGUAAUGCAUCGGAACGUGCCCAGUCGUGGGGGAUAACGUAGCGAAAGCUACGCUAAUACCGCAUACGAUCUGUGGAUGAAAGCGGGGGACCGUAAGGCCUCGCGCGAUUGGAGCGGCCGAUAUCAGAUUAGGUAGUUGGUAGGGUAAAGGCCUACCAAGCCGACGAUCUGUAGCUGGUCUGAGAGGACGACCAGCCACACUGGGACUGAGACACGGCCCAGACUCCUACGGGAGGCAGCAGUGGGGAAUUUUGGACAAUGGGCGCGAGCCUGAUCCAGCAAUGCCGCGUGCAGGAUGAAGGCCUUCGGGUUGUAAACUGCUUUUGUACGGAGCGAAAAGGCUCUCUCUAAUACAGGGGGCUCAUGACGGUACCGUAAGAAUAAGCACCGGCUAACUACGUGCCAGCAGCCGCAGUAA
rnacentral:rRNA from 1 species